rnacentral:rRNA from 1 species
GAUACCCUAUUAUUUUAAGCUAUAUAUUGGUAGUAAUUAAUAAUUUAUGAAAUCAUAAGAUUUUGGCGGUAUUUUAAGCUUAUUAGAGGAAUUUGCUCUGUGAUGGAUACAACGCCUCGAUCUUACUUAAUUUGGUUUUAAAAGUCAGUUUGUAUACCACUAUAUUUAAUUAUAUUGAAUAAUUAUAUUUAAGAUUUUUAUAAAAAAAAAUAUAUUAAGUCAAGGUGCAAUUAAUAAUUAUGAAUGAAGUGAAUUACAUUAAUUUUAAUUUUAUUAAAAUAUUGAAAAAAAAAUUUUUAGGAUUUAAUAGUAAAAUG